UUUUCUAGUGACAGCUUUCAGUGACAUUGACAGUCUUGAUACCUAUACCUGUCGCUUUGUGUUAGGCAAAUGUUAAGUAUUUUAUUAAAUAAAUAAAAUGAAAGUAUGUAUUUUGCGUCUGUGUAAUGUUCUCUGCAAGAAGUCGUGAUAAAGGAAAUGGAUGACAGAGAUGUCGUAUGGUUAAAAGGACCCAUGGCCCGGCGAGGCAUGCUGCGAGAGCGGCAUAACAAGGCCGUUGGUCCGAAAUCUAACGUAAUGAAUUGAAGUACAGAAACUGCAAUUAACGUAUUCUUCAAACAACAAGCAUGAUUAGAAUGUAUCAAAGCCACAUUAUAUCAGCCUAUCAACCUCGAUUGAAGACCAGUGACAUGGGCCAUUUGUUCAACAGAAUACAUAUGCAUUAAUGUAAUAUGUUUUAAUACAGCAUUCUCAUGACAUGAAUUAAAGUGAGAUCAGAUCAAACCACAGAUCAUGUUGUAACAUUGGUGUUCCGGACCUGUGAGAGGCAUGUGCAGACUUGCAGAGCUAAAGGCAACC